rnacentral:rRNA from 1 species
UACGUAGGGGGCAAGCGUUGUCCGGAUUUAUUGGGCGUAAAGAGCUCGUAGGCGGUCUGUUGCGUCGGCUGUGAAAACCCGGGGCUCAACCCCGGGCCUGCAGCCGAUACGGGCAGACUAGAGUUCGGCAGGGGAGACUGGAAUUCCUGGUGUAGCGGUGAAAUGCGCAGAUAUCAGGAGGAACACCGGUGGCGAAGGCGGGUCUCUGGGCCGAUACUGACGCUGAGGCACGAAGGCCAGGGGAGCAAACGGG